GUGCAGGCUUGUUGAGGAUCGACCGGGAUUUCAGGCUGACUUGCCGGGGACAGGGUUCCGAGAGGCAGAGGUGGAGAGCCAGCCUGGGCCCCUCUUGAAAGACUUCUCUGAGGAGUUUGGUUUUUAUUUGAGUGGCCGAGGAAGCCUUUAAAGGGUUUUAAGGAGGAGGUGAGGUGCGUGUGUGCUUGAUCAGAAAGAACAUUGAUGAAGACACUGUGUGUGUGUGUUGUUGUUUUGAUCUCAUUACUCUUCCCAUUUCUUUUUUACUUUACAACCUUCCAUUUAUACUGAUUCAGGAAUUAGCAAUGGAAUAGUGCCUUUUUUCAUUGUUAAGACAAAAUAACUGAGACAGGGUAGCUUAAUAAAGAAAAGUUUUAUUUUGUUCAGGGUUUGGAGGUUCCCGGGGGCCCACUUGUGAGGACGGCCUUCUCAUUAGCAGAUUCCGAUGGUGGCUCUGUCUCACAUGGUCUGUCUUACUUUGUAGCUAGGUCCUGGAACUGAUUCUCCUACCUUAGCACCCUGAGUUCUGGGAUUCUACAGGUAUGUGCCCCUCCCACACCCCCUCCCCCAGUGGUGCUUUGUUACUUCAGCUUCUGCCAUGCUUCUAUGAAAUUUUUAUGUCUUUUAGAAAUUAUUUAGCAGCUUGGUUAGCCUCUGUGUGUCCCUGUGGCUACACUGUGUGCAAUGAAUACCAACCCUAUAUUCUGCACCUGAUUGAUGUGAGGAUUAGUUAAGGAGAUGUUUAUGGACAGCUUGGCUGAGCAUGGCCUGGCCCACAGCUUCUCCAGUGUUGUAGCCUGAAGCAAACUGAGUUCCUUGUCCUUAGGGUUCUAUCUUCCUGGUUUCUGUUGCUUGCAGAAUUAUUCUGCCUGGAAGGCAAGUGUUACAGAGUAGGCAUUGUUGAAGAAGGUGAAGAAGGUGAUGUUGUCUUAUGAAUGAGCCCCUUGCUUACUGUUAGUUUUGUUCAACCAUGGAAUCUUGAUUCAAAGGGUGAUGUCAGUAAACUGAUCCUUCCCAAGAACAGCCCUCAUUUCCUGACUCCCACUUAGAUUUCUGGAAUAAAGGCACAGCCAAACAAUGGCCCUGCUUUCAGUCCCUGAAGGCUGAGUAGUGCUACUGAGUACAUUCCCAGAGAGCAGCUCUCUAUGGGGUGGGCCUUUGUUCCUUAUUUGUGCUGGAGAAAUACAGGGUUUUCUUCUAGUUUCCUGACAUUUCCUGACUUGGUUACCUUGAGUCUUUAUCAUCCUCACCACAUCAUCCUCGAGGCAGAGGAAGGUGAAAGGAAGUCAGAAUUUGAAGGUAGUGUCUUUACCAUCUGACUUUUCUGAGAAAUAAAAAGCCUUAAGUCAUAAACUACCCCCCACCAUCCCUCUACUCAUACCUAGAAAGAGCUGCUUUCCAUGGAGUCCAGUCCUAACUUCCUGUCCCCAGAGGAGUGACAUUGACACAGAUCACCUGCCCCCUGGAGACAGGGAGUUGAAGCCAGACUUGCUUUAGGCCACCCAAUGUUUCGGUAGGAAAGUACUGUAGAUAAGGUCCCCUCUGACCUGGUGGCCUGAAGUUUCCUUCACCAGGCUGGGUAGAGUGACCAUUUUAAGAAAUAGCUUAUGUGGUAUGCGUGCCGACCUCGUUAAGGGAUAAGUCCCUGUUUCUAAUUCUAGCCCUUUCGGUUUGAGCUUACAACUUUGGGCAUGUCAAUUGUUUCAUUUUCGUGUCCAGUAAGGAGAUUAAUAUUGCAGCCCCUGGGCUUCACUCAUCUGGGGUGUUGGGAGAAUCAGUGAGAUUAUGUACAACACUGAGAGCUAGCACCUGUUUUGUACUCAGUGUGUGCUGACUACUUUUAGUUCCCUGACAGGUGUCAUUCUCACAAUUCUAAAGUGAGGACACCAGUAGCCCCACUUCACAGUUAAGAACACGAAGUCCAGGGAAGUCACGUUGAAGCCAGCCCCAGUUCUCUGGCUCCAGAGCACACUCAAUCUCAUUCU